GACGAACGCUGGCGGCGUGCUUAACACAUGCAAGUCGAACGGAAAGGCCUGCUUUCCCUUGUGGAUUGCGGGUACUCGAGUGGCGAACGGGUGAGUAACACGUGAGUGAUCUUCCCCCAACUUGGGUAUAAGCCUGGGAAACUGGGUCUAAUUCCCGAUAGGACUGCAGGGUGGUGCCUGUGGUGGAAAACGAUUUUCUAGUGGUUGGGGAUGAGCUCGCGGCCUAUCAGCUUGUUGGUGGGGUAAUGGCCUACCAAGGCGGCGACGGGUAGCCGGCCUGAGAGGGUGGACGGCCACAUUGGGACUGAGAUACGGCCCAGACUCCUACGGGAGGCAGCAGUGGGGAAUAUGGCACAAUGGGCGGAAGCCUGAUGCAGCGACGCCGCGUGGGGGAUGACGGCCUUCGGGUUGUAAACUCCUUUCGACCGCGAGGAAGCCACCUGGUUGGAAGGGUGGUGACGGUAGUGGUAGAAGAAGCACCGGCUAACUACGUG
rnacentral:rRNA from 1 species